GCACAGCCGAGGAGUCCCACAAUAGGACGAAACGGCUGUACAGUGC
rnacentral:hammerhead_ribozyme from 1 species